UACAUGUUAUGAAAAAUAAAAAAUGGGGGGACGGAGGGGGGGCCCUGGGGCUAGGGUGGGGGGGGGGCAAGAGUAAAAACACACACACAUGAUGAUCAUCAUUUAGGCCAAACGGGGCUGUGGAGGAAAGCCUAAAGAUCCACCUUCUCUCAGCAGCUCUCCACUGGACCAGGGACCAACCGACAUUGGUCUCUAGACCGGACAAUGAAAAGUCGUUGAUAUGAUGUGAGAUGAAGUGAGUAUACAGCCGUUUAUCGUUUGUUCCUUUCUGAAUAUGGUAAAUGUGUUGGUAUAACCUCUGUUUAAUAGUAGCUCCCGUUUCGCCCACAUAGAUGAUCCUGCAUAGUUUGCACUGGAUGGCGUAGACGACAUUGCAGGAGAGUAGUGUGAAGGUCUGCGAGAUGGGGGCACCGGCUCGACAGUUGAAGAUGUACUUCAGGGAGAACGGGCCGGCCUGGCUGGAAGAGGGCGGUCACUUCCCCUUUAAUAGUCAGAAGAAAACGUUUGGAAUAGCCGCGGGGUCUAAGGGCCUUGAAAAGGGUCCUGGUGGCCUCCUCUACGUGAUGAGGUAGAGAGCAGAUGCGGUGGAAACUGAUUAGUUGUGACUUGAUGAUGGAGCUGAAAGUAUGCCGGGGAUGGUAGCUGGUGUUAAAUAAUAAGGAAUGCCUGUCAGUGUCUUUAAAAUAAACCUUGGUUGCUAAUG